CCUACGGGUGGCUGCAGUCGAGAAUCUUCGGCAAUGGGCGAAAGCCUGACCGAGCGACGCCGCGUGCGGGAUGAAGGUCUUCGGAUUGUAAACCGCUGUCGGGAGGGAUGAAGUGCACGGGGGCAAUCCCCUGUGUUUGACAGAGCUCCGGAGGAAGCACGGGCUAAGUUCGUGCCAGCAGCCGCGGUAAUACGAACUGUGCGAACGUUAUUCGGAAUCACUGGGCUUAAAGGGUGCGUAGGCGGCGCUGUAAGUCAGGUGUGAAAUCCCCCGGC
rnacentral:rRNA from 1 species